GUGAAGCCGCAGUAUGUUCUUCCAAAUCCAGAAAUGGGUGCCUUCUCGGGACCUGCUUGGUGAGUAGCAGGUGUUGUCCCAAGCACAGUGGGCUCUGGGGCCAGUGCUGGCAGGGCAGUGCUGUGAGCCCAGACUGCUGCACCUGCCGAUUGGCAGGUGUGUCUCUGACAGUCAGCAGGCAUGGGCUUGGGCUUUGGUCCAGGGUCCCUGGGAACCUGGAGAGACCCCUUAACAUCUGUCUGAGGGCAGAGGCCGAGCUGCAGGGAGCUGAUGAGAGAGUAUGUGUUAGGGUGGCUGUAGUCUAGCCCUGAGGACACGGCUUGCUGGGAAAGGAAAGGGAAGGUUGUGUGCUCUGUGAAGUGCCUGAGAAAUAGUCCUGGACCCUAAAAUUCCGUGUGUCUUCCUGUUGCAUAAUGUCCCUCCCCAAUUUCUUUAGCUCCAAAAAGUUAACAAAGGAUUGUUAGUUUGCAUUGUUGGUCUCAGUAGGUUUUUCUUUGACAUGGAUUUGCAUAUCCGUUCGUGAGCUCCAACCUGACCGUCCCUUGAACAGCAGCCUCAGUGAACAGGGCUUGGUCUUGUCACUUACUGAGGGGUGGGUUCACGUUUAGCAAAUAAUUAGAGUGGUUUCAAUAGCGAGUGUGAAGUACCAUUUCAUUUUUCGUUUGAUGUUUCAUUUGCGCUUGAUGCGUGUCUGUCUCCACAGGCUGGGGACACCCUAGGAGACAGCAGCAGCUCUGUUCUGGAGUUCAUGUCGAUGAAGUCCUAUCCGGACGUCUCUGUGGAUAUCUCCAUGCUCAGCUCUCUGGGUGAGUUGUAACAGGCGCUUUCCCACAGCACCCGGUGAAGGUGUGAUAGAGGAAGAAAACACGCAGCCUCCACCUCCUCUCCCUUCCUGACUAGACAGGGAUGCCAGGAAAAUCUUUUGUUACAGUAUUUGGUCUUUGUCCCAGGUUUUUGGACCAUAGCACCUAAAACCCUUGGAAUCUCCUGAGUGUUGUGUCUUUUUUAAGCUAAUGAGAAGUGGUUGCAGCCCCUGGGUAACCUCAGGAUGGGGUCUGGCCGAUCCCCAGUGGCUGUGGAUUUCAUCAGUGUUGCCUACCGCCUCCAUGAAAUCCCAAAAGGUGGGGUUCCCUAGGGAGCCUCAUUGCCGGACGCCUGGAGGCUCUGGGAAGAAGGCAGCCCCUUCCCACGGGUCCCCUCUGCAUCGCUCCCACCUGGGGCCCAUCCGUACCCUGGGUGACACCCCGCAGAAUAAAUGGGUAAAUGUCAGCCUAGUGUGUGGACAGAAGAGUCAAACUCUGCAGGGUAUUUAGAGAGGUUUCUUCUGAGUGAAAUAUGAAGACCGUGGUUGUGACACAGUCCCAGGAGGUCCCAAGAACAUUUGCCGAGGAGGACUGGUCUGCAGCUUGUUUUGAUAUGUUUUAGGGAGACAGAGGCCAUCAGUCAGUACAUGUCAGUUGUAACAGUGGUUCGUGUUGGAAAGG
rnacentral:lncRNA from 1 species